GACGAACGCUGGCGGCGUGCUUAACACAUGCAAGUCGAACGGAAAGGCCCUGCUUUUGUGGGGUGCUCGAUUGGCGAACGGGUGAGUAACACGUGAGUAACCUGCCCUUGACUUUGGGAUAACUUCAGGAAACUGGGGCUAAUACCGGAUAUGAGCUCCUGCUGCACGGUGGUGGUUGGAAAGUUUCGGCGGUUGGGGAUGGACUCGCGGCUUAUCAGCUUGUUGGUGGGGUAGUGGCGUACCAGGGCUUUGACGGGUAGCCGGCCUGAGAGGGUGAACGGCCACCAUGGGACUGAGAUACGGCCCAGACGCCUACGGGAGGCAGCAGGGGGGAAUAUGGCACAAUGGGCGGAAGCCUGAUGCAGCAGCGCCGCGUGCGGGAUGACGGCCUUCGGGUUGUAAACCGCUUUCGCCUGUGACGAAGCGUGAGUGACGGUAAUGGGUAAAGAAGCACCGGCUAACUACGUG
rnacentral:rRNA from 1 species